rnacentral:lncRNA from 13 species
UAUACUAAUCCUGAAUUCAAUAAGGUGUGGUUUCAUUGGCCAACAUCUGAAAUUCUUGUGUCUUAUACAGCUGGGGCUGGAGUUGUUCAACCCAGUGCUGGGGCUGGAGUUGGUGCUGCUAACGGUGAUAUCACUGGAGGGGGGACUCUACCUGGAGCUAAACCUCUGAAGGCUCCAAGAGGAGAUACACCUGGUGAAGGAGAGGGAGAUUCAGGAGGAGGAGCAAGUGGUGUUGGUGGAGGUCCUGAUGGUGCAGGAGGAGCAGGCAGUGGAUCUGGCGGAGUAGGAAGAGAUGGUGAUGGUAGAGGAGGAGGACCAGGAGGAGCAGGCAGUGGAUCUGGCGGUGUAGGAAGAGAUGGUGAUGGUAAAGGAGGAGGAGGACCGGGAGGAGCAGGGGGGAAAGACGGUGGUGCAGUUAGAGUGGGAGGAAGUCCUAACGGUACAGGGGGAGCUGGAGGUUCAGGAGGUGGAGGAGCAGGAGUAGAACCUGGAGGAGGUGCAGGACCAGGCAGUAGUGACAAACCACCCAAAGGUUAUGGAGCAGGUGGGGCUGGCAGUCUGGGUGCAGGAGGUGCUGGAGGAGCAGCUCUGGUCCCUGGGUCUGGUGGUGCCGGUGAUGUAGGAGCUGGAACCCCCAAACCAGGAAAAAGCUACGGAGCUGGUGGAGUCCUGCCAGGUGGAGGAUAUGGUGCUGGCCAAUUUGGAGCAGGAGGACGACGUCCUGGAGGAUAUGGUGCCGGACCAGGCGGAUACGGAGCCAGUCCUGGAGGAUAUGGCACUGGACCCGGUGGAUAUGGGGCCAGACCCGGUGGUUAUGGUGCUGGUUCAGGUGGUUAUGGGGCUGGAGCUGGUCCUGGUGGCUAUGGUGCUGGGCCAGGUGGAUAUGGUGCUGGGCAAGGUGGCUAUGGUGCUGGGCCAGGUGGCUACGGGACAGGGGCUGGGCCUGGAGGAUAUGGAUCCAAGCCAUACAAGACUGGAGGUGCUGGAGCCGGUGGUGUUGGUGGAGGUCUGGGUGGAGCUGGCAGCCUGGGUGCCAUAGGAGCCGGACCAGGAGGAGUGGGUGGAGGUCAAGGUGGAGCUGGACCAGGUGGAUAUAUACCAGGUGGAGUUGGUAGCAGAUACCCCACAGGUGCUGGAACUGGCACAGGAACUGGCACUGGAAAACCACCUAAAAGCUAUGGGAGAGCUGUUGGAGCUGGAGAUGGGCUUGGUGGUUAUGGUGGCGGAACAGUUGGUUAUGGACCAGGAGGAACCGGGGCCGGACUAGGUGGGGCUGGGGCCGGGCAAGGUGGAUAUGGUGCCGGACAUAAAGGUUAUGGGCCAGGUGGAGCAGGGCCGGGAGGAGCUGGGGUCAGACCAGGUGGAGCAGAGGCCGGACCUGGUGGCUAUGGUGCAGGGCCUGGAGGUUAUGGGCCUGGGGCUGGUCUUGGUCCUGGAGGUUAUGGGGCUGAACCUGGUGGCUAUGGACCAGGUAGAGCAGGGCCGGGAGGAGCUGGGGUCAGACCAGGUGGAGCCAGACCAGGUGGAGCAGAGGCAGGACCUGGUGGCUAUGGUGCUGGGCCUGGAGGUUAUGGGCCUGGGGCUGGUUUUGGUCCUGGCGUAGCUGGUCCUGGAGGUUAUGGGGCUGGACCUGGUGGCUAUGGACCACUUGGAGCUGGGGCUGGACAGGGAACUGGAGCUGGAGGGUAUGACGCAAAUGCAAAAGCUCGUAAAUAUGGUAUGCUAAGUGGUUCCCUUGGAGGAGGACAAGCAGCUGGCCAGGGAAGAGUGCCAGGAGGGGGAGCAAGGGCUGGGCUAGGUCAGGGAGGAGUGCCUGGAGGGGGAGCAGGUACUGGGCUAGGCCAUGGAGGAGUGCCUGGAUCUGCGCUUGGUGGCGGUAGUGGUCCGGGUGCUGGGUAUGGACCUGGCAUUGGAACCCAUGGAGGUUAUGGGCCAGGAGGUGGUGCUGGGACCGGACUUGGUCAGGGAAGAGCCGGGGCCGGACCAGGUGACUAUGGACCACUUGGAGCUGGGGCUGGACAGGGAACUGGAGCUGGAGGGUAUGACGCAAAUGCAAAAGCUCGUAAAUAUGGUAUGCUAAGUGGUUCCCUUGGAGGAGGACAAGCAGCUGGCCAGGGAAGAGUGCCAGGAGGGGGAGCAAGGGCUGGGCUAGGUCAGGGAGGAGUGCCUGGAGGGGGAGCAGGUACUGGGCUAGGCCAUGGAGGAGUGCCUGGAUCUGCGCUUGGUAGUGGUCCGGGUGCUGGGUAUGGACCUGGCAUUGGAACCCAUGGAGGUUAUGGGCCAGGAGGUGGUGCUGGGACCGGACUUGGUCAGGGAAGAGCCGGGGCCGGACCAGGUGGUUAUGGACCACUUGGAGCUGGGGCUGGACAGGGAACUGGAGCUGGAGGGUAUGACGCAAAUGCAAAAGCUCGUAAAUAUGGUGAGUAUAUCAUCUUUUU